rnacentral:lncRNA from 1 species
GGAAAACAAUGGAGAGAAGGUGUAUUUGCACAGACUGGAGGACACUCCUGCAUAAACUAGUCAGCGAAAAGGUAGCAUCCUAGUGACAUCUACUGGGUUUGAGUAUCAUCAGUGGAUCAUAUGAUCACUGGGCAUUUCAGGUUUCUCUAGAAGAGAGGAAAGGGAAACCUAAGACAAAUGCCCUGGCAUUUCUUUUUUUAAGGGAACAAGGUUAUAUAACACUAGCAAUUAUUAAGAAAUGUUUUCCCUUCCCUUAAGCUCAGGGACACUAUUGGUUAGAGAGUUGAGUAACCCAACCUCUUAAUAAUUAUUCCCUUUUUCAAAGCUGGGUAUAUAAUAUUACAAGCUGAAUUACUCUAUGUCAGGUCAUAUAAGUAAAGAUGGGGUUUCUGAAUGAAAACAUGCUUUGAAAAUUUUGAUUCAUUGCAGUGCAGAGUUCUGGUGGCUUCAAGAGUGCUGGAGUGUAUAGUUUAAGUAUGGCCUGAGCACAUGUGAUCAGUUUCAGAAGCCUGAAGAAAGGGUCCCUGGGAGCCACACUGUACAACAUGUUUGGGGGAUCAGUCAUCCCUCUUUCACACUUAUCAAGGGUCACCCUACCUCAGAACAAGCACAAACUGUUCACCCAAGGAGGACUUGAAGGGCUGGGUACCUUCCCCCCCCUCUCCCCUCAUCUCCUUUCCUCAUUAAAAAGCAUUCCAAUCUAUCAGCAACAAGCCUCCUGGGGCUUGAAAUUUUCACCUUAUCUUUACCAUUAGCCCUUGCAUUAGCUGGCUUCCUUUCAAAUCAGUGCUCCUGUAUUCUUAGGUUAUACUCUGGGGAUAUGUUGCCCAAAGGUAGGGGGAUGGAAAGCCAAGGAUUUGGUUUGCCAAGGAUAGUGCAUGAUUUUUGUGAGAUGCAUUAUGACUGAUUUACAGACCUUUUAAUUUGGUCUUGGGGGUGGUGGGAGGUGGGAAAUCUGGGUGAUUUCUUGAUUGGCAAUGAGGAUAAAUUGUUAAUGCUUUUUCAGAGCUUAACUGCCUUAUCCUGUUCUGCAAAUCGGUAAGAGAUCUGUUGGUACUCACUUCAGAGACAUGUUCAACUAUGGAAAGAGGCAAUUUUCCUAUCCAAGGCCACACUAGAAAGCAUUAAUUCAUUGGUCAAAUAUUUGUUACCUGGAAUGGAACUUGAAAAAAUACAUUUUGAUUUUUCUUUUC